rnacentral:lncRNA from 1 species
GAUCUGGGAGGGGAUCAAAAUCCCUAGCCGCAUCUCCAUUGCAAUCAGGCCUGGCAUCUCCAUCUCCCUCACCCUCCUUCUCCACCUCCGGCCGCCGCCACGGCCAGGCCAGCGUGGUGGUGCGCCCCUCACCAUCACACCAUCACCACCAUCGCCGCCAGCCACGACCAUCUCCACCACGCACCACCAGCACCACUUCCCACGAGCCGCACCUCACACCACCACCAGCACCACGCCAUCUCCAUCUUCGCCGCCGCGCCACCGCUCGCACAAUCUCUUCUUCCCCUGCUGCUCCUUCCUUCUCCUCACCACGCUGCUGCUUCCCCUCUCACGCCCCUGGUACUGCUCCUUCUCACAUUCCUGCUGCUGCUGCUGCUCGUCUUGUGCCCCUGGUGCUGCUCCUCCUUCCCUCGUCCUUGCUGCUGCUCUCUCCCUCUCUGUUGCUCUUCUCUGAAUCCCCUACUGCUGCUACUCCACUUCCUGUGCUCCCCUUCUUCUUCUAUGAAUCUCGCUGCUGCUGCUCCUCCUCUUAAAACGGCUGCUGCUCCCUCUCCCACUUUCCUCGCUGCUGUUCCCUCUCUCUUCUCACCAAAAUUGCUGAUGUCCUCUUCUCCAUUUGCGUGCUGCCACACCCUUCCUGAAGCUCUCUCAACUUUAUUUUGUUCUGUAUUAGUACUAUUUUGUCUGUAUGUCAGUUAGUUUGCUGUAAUAAUUCAGAUUACUUGUGAUCUUUGUGUUGAAUGUGAUUUCAGUGAACUUGAGAUUUGUAAUAUUGCUCAAUAUUCAGUCUAUAAUGUCUAAAACUUUGUGAUUCGGUGGUGUCUAUAUUCAAUAUAUAUAACCUGUGAUAUAUAUCUUUUAGAUGGUUCAAUCUUUUAGUUAUUGUUGUACUGAUAUAUGUUAAGGUGAUUUGGCUUGUGUGAUACGAGUCUAGUACAUGUGCUAUAUAAAUUCGUGUGUGUUUCUGGUGUAAACCAUCUAUAUUGUGUCUUUUAAUCUUGUUUCUUCCUUCUUCUUACAUGUUAGAUGGUUAUGUGUUCAUGUGUUGCAUCUUCUCGGUGUGUAUUUUAAUUCUUCUAGUAUAAUAAAAAUACCAAAAAGACAGUGAAGAAAAUCUGAACCUUCCUUUGCCCUUUUUGCAUUUUCUUUGGUGACGAUCUUUGGGUACAACCUUGUUUAGUGUAGGUUUAUUUUCUUGCAUUCAUAAUCUGAAUUGUGUUACCUAGCUUUAGCCAAGCACGUUCAUUGAUUUGCCUAGUCCCUGAGGAGAACACGACACUCGUAGUUUGGGGCGUAAAAACCCCGCUAUAUUACAACUGAUCAUUUUGGCGCCGUUGCCGGGGACUAGCGUCGUGUGACUGUGUUAGGCUUUAGACUAGGUUUAGCUUGUUUCCUUUUUGUGCUUUAUAUAUUUGUGAUAUAUCUCUAGCCACUAACCCCUAUUCUAGUUAGUAUCUUUUCGUCUUCUUUUCCUUUUUUGCAGGUUGGAUUAUCCUCUCGGCUAUGGCUUACUAUUCAGGCUUAUGCGAGGAACACUACAAACAGCACGGAAAGUGUUCAAGAACUGAUAGGUAAGAUUUCCCAUCGAUUAGAUGAUUUAGCUCGGCAGCGAGAAGGAGUUUUUGAGGAUAGGCCUAGUUCUUACGAUCCUUAUUCCAGAGGCCAUCCUUAUGUUGCUCCUACUUGCCAUAUUUGUGGAUUUCAGGGCCAUUCGCCCGCUGAAUGUCAGCGUGGUUACUCCCAUCCUACGGAUUGUUUUGGCAUGAGCUUCGCUCAACAGCAUAGCUCAUACCAAAACAAUUACUCACAUGGGUGGCCUGAAAGCCUGAAUAUGUCAUAUAGGAGCAACAACCCUAAGAUCUCACAGUUUGGUUCUAGUAAUCAUAUGCAGGGAUUUAGGUACAAUGAGGAGAGCCACAACUAUGCACCACAACAAUUCCAUUCAGCUCCUACUCAUAUACCACAGCACCAGGAGAUGUGUCCAAUGGAGUUAAAUGGUCCUCCAUUUGGUCAACCAACAACUCCAGCACCUGUUGUGCAAUCUCAUGUGCAAGUGCCCACACAAGAUGAGUUCAAUGACAUAGACAAGCUCACACUUUUGAGUCUCGAGUUCACUUGGAGUGCCGAGGAUGAUCCUAUUAGGAAGGUUAUACUAGAUGAAAUGAAGAAGAUCAAGAGUGGAAAAGAGCUAGUGGAAGAAGUAAGGAAGAUUGAGAACAACAUCAACACUGGCAGCACUAUUUCUUCACAGCUAGAGCUGAGUGUUGCCGAGAUUCCCCUUGAUACAUGUGAGGUUCCAACACCGUCACAUCCAGUUGAGCAAGAUAGUAAGAGUCCAGAGGAAGAAAGACCUCAGAUUGAAGAAGAUGAACUAGAAGACAAGGAACAAGAUGAUCAAGAGCUGCAAUUCCCAAGUGAUCAAGUUGAAGACUCAUCAUCUACUACUCCUAAAGAAGUACAAGAAGCUGCUGUAGAUGAAGAUGAAGAACAUGAGAUUCAUUUGCCUAUUGUCAUACCAGAGCGUGAUGUGUCAGGUUUACCCAAUCCUCUUGAUGACAUGAUGCCUUGUAAUUUCUUUGCUACUACCUUGCAUUACAUGAUACCAUCAAUUAAGCUAGACUUGAAAAAUUAUUUGCUUGGACAUGAUCAUACAUACAUUGUUGGUGGCAUUGCUCUCAUUCCUGAUGAUGACACUUAUUUUCCUUAUGCUAGUUCUAUGCUUAAUGAAACAUAUUAUUCCCAUGCUAGUCUUGAGCUUAAUGAUAAAUUUCAUCCUCAUGUUAGUGUCGACCUUGCUGAUUUCUACCAUCCUAAACAUGUGCUUUAUAGUUAUGCUUAUAUAAUUGGAUAUUACAUUGAUGACUUGGAGGGCAUCGACCGUAUCACUUGUAGUUGUUUGUGUGAGUCCUAUUUCAGGCUUUUGCUACUGCACUGUUUACUACAUGCUGACCAGGUUCGAGGUGACAUUCCUUGGGAUCCUGGUGGAGUCAGAGCAUGGCGAUGAGGAGAAGCAAUGGGGCACACAUAUGGAAGAGUGAAGCUGGAGCAUCCAUGAGGAAGCAAGGGAGAAGAGCUGCAGCUGGUGAGGUGAUCGAGCGAGUGCUACAUCAUCAAAGCCCGGUGAGCUGUUUCAUGACCCAUUCUGAAUAUCAUAAAUACAUGCUGAAUUAAAUUGCUAGUUGGGUUGCUUGAGCUAGUUAUUACUUGUUGUCAAGCUGAAAUUCACCUUUGGCAUUGUGCUUGAUGUGAAUUUGUGAACUUGAUUUCUGAAUGCCUUGUAAACUAGUGAUCUACACCAUGCAUGCUUUGCUGAAAUUUGUGGAAGUUAUUAGUUUUGAGUGCUCAAAUCCCUAGUACACUAGAAAACUUGAUCAUUUUCUGCUUUUACCUUGAUACACCUAGAUCACCAUGUUUAGAUGCUGAAUUUGUGCUAAGUGUGUUCCCAUUGAGAGCAAUCACCUAACCACUAUGGAUUAGCAUGCUAUGUUCCCUGGAUCGGUAGCAUGUGAACCAGACAUGGAGAAGCGAUGAUUCCUAUUUUUGUGCUUAUGAGUUGUUCAUUUAAGAUAAGUAAUAAUGAAUAUAUAAGUCUGGCUACCUACAGUAGCAUGUCAUGUUACCGGGAUCGGUGGCAUGUGAAAUCGGGUUAGCUUGGGCAGUAAUUAAUAAUAAUAAAAAUGUAAUUGUCGAACCAGGUGUAUACCAUGUUCUCGGGAUCGGUGGUAUGUUCCUUUGGGGAGACAAAUAAUUUUUUUUAAUUAAAAUUGGUUGAGCCAGGUGUAUACCAUGUUCUCGGGAUCGGUGGUAUGUUCCUUCGGUGAGACUAAUAAAUUAUUAUGUGUGUUUCUUUCAAAUUCAAUAAGUGGUUCAACCACAAAGUCAUAUUUCUGCAAAUAAGAGACUUAAUUCUAGUUCUUUUUGUUCUCGGGAUCAUGCUCUCUUUAGGAACCAUUUGGCGCAGUCAUCAUUUAAACUUGUUGAUCCUCUUUUAUCACUUUAAAAGUUUAAAAUGGUCAUGCUUACUAGUAUCCUACUGCUUUGUAGCACUCCUAACCAUUAAUUUUCACUAGCUAAGUCUGAAGCAUGCCUUGUUUGGAGAUCUAUUUUACCAGGACAUUCCUUACUCAGUUUACUAUUCAUUAUCUUGCCUUUGUCAUAUUCCUUUGCUUGAGGACAAGCAAAGAUUUAAGUGUGGGGGAACUUGAUAAGUGCAUUUCAUAUAUAUAAUUUGGCACUCAAAUUUAGCAUCUAUCGUGAUUUAUCCAUCCAUUCUUGCUAUGAGUUUAAAUAUAUUUGAAUGAAAAUCAUAUAAAAGAUCAUUUACUUGUCAUUUGUUUAUUUUGCAGAAAAGUGCGAUAAGGCACUAUAAUCUUGAAGAUCUUGUCUACAAAGAAAGAGGAUACAAGACCGAGGGCCAAUAGAAGAGAAGGGGGGACUCGAGUAUGAAGAAUUAAAGAAAUGGAGGGCCAAAACUAAAGAAGAAAGGGAUCUACUUGAGGCUAAAGAAGAGAAGAAGGAGGGCAAAAGUGCAAAAAUGCAGAUCUGGGAGGGGAUCAAAAUCCCUAGCCGCAUCUCCAUUGCAAUCAGGCCUGGCAUCUCCAUCUCCCUCACCCUCCUUCUCCACCUCCGGCCGCCGCCACGGCCAGGCCGGCGUGGUGGUGCGCCCCUCACCAUCACACCAUCACCAUCGCCUCUAGCCACGACCAUCUCCACCAUGCACCACCAGCACCACUUCCCACGAGCCGCACCUCACACCACCACCAGCACCACGCCAUCUCCAUCUUCGCCGCCGCGCCACCGCUCGCACAAUCUCUUCUUCCCCUGCUGCUCCUUCCUUCUCCUCACCACGCUGCUGCUUCCCCUCUCACGCCCCUGGUACUGCUCCUUCUCACGUUCCUGCUGCUGCUGCUCGUCUUGUGCCCCUGGUGCUGCUCCUCCUUCCCUCGUCCUUGCUGCUGCUCUCUCCCUCUCUGUUGCUCUUCUCUGAAUCCCCUACUGCUACUACUCCACUUCCUCUGCUCCCCUUCUUCUUCUCUGAAUCUCGCUGCUGCUGCUCCUCCUCUUAAAACUGCUGCUGCUCCCUCUCCCACUUUCCUCGCUGCUGUUCCCUCUCUCUUCUCACCAAAAUUGCUGCUGUCCUCUUCUCCAUUUGCUUGCUGCUACACCCUUCCUGAAGCUCUCUCAACUUUAUUUUGUUCUGUAUUAGUACUGUUUUUGUCUGUAUGCCAGUUAGUUUGCUGUAAUAAUUCAGAUUACUUGUGAUCUUUGUGUUGAAUGCGAUUUCAGUGAACUUGAGAUUUGUAAUAUUGCUCAAUAUUCAGUCUAUAAUGUAUGAAACUUUGUGAUUCGGUGGUGUCUAUAUUCAAUAUAUAUAACCUGUGAUAUAUAUCUUGUUAGAUGGUUCAAUCUUUUAGUUAUUGCUGUACUGAUAUAUGUUAAGGUGAUUUGGCUUGUGUGAUACGAGUCUAGUACAUGUGCUAUAUAAAUUCAUGUGUGUUUGUGGUGUAAACCAUCUAUAUUGUGUCUUUUAAUCUUGUUUCUUCCUUCUUCUUACAUGUUAGAUGGUUAUAUGUGUUCAUGUGUUGCAUCUUCUCGGUGUGUAUUUUAAUUCUUCUAGUAUAAUAAAAAUACCAAAAAGACAGUGAAGAAAAUCUGAACCUUCCUUUACCCUUUUUACAUUUUCUUUGGUGACGAUCUUUGGGUACAACCUUGUUUAGUGUAGGUUUAUUUUCUUGCAUUCAUAAUCUGAAUUGUGUUACCUAGCUUUAGCCAAGCACGUUCAUUGAUUUGCCUAGUCCCUGAGGAGAACACGACACUCGUAGUUUGGGGCGUAAAAACCCCGCUAUAUUACAACUGAUCAGUGCCGAUGAAACUUGCUAGUUAUAGGUGUCAAUCAUAAGUAUGCGUAACCAUUAUGUGUCUCCCGUUCGAAAGGGUUACAUCUAUAAAUAUGCAUGUAUUUGCAUAUUUUAUAAUCGUGAUUAUUUCUAAUUGUCCAACGUUAUCCAUGGACAACCCGAGUAUGUGUAGAUUGGGUUCAUUUUCCCAUAUGCUCAGCUCCGGAUCCGAUGCAGAAUUUCGUCAGUGCCUCCCUGUUGUUCUCUGGGUACACAUCCUCUCUGCUUAUUGCCGAGACGUGUAUCAGGAGAACAGCAGGGAGGUGCUGCCAAAAUUUUGCGUCGGAUCUGGAGCAGAGCAUGGGAAAACGAACCCGAUCUACACAUACUCGGAUGGGAUUAGGACCUAUCCUUACCUAUUAGCGUGUAGGUUGCAUAGACGUAAUAAAACUAACAAACUCCAUUAACUGAUGGAUAUGGUUUGCCUAAUUAUGUAUAUAUUUCUUGUUUGUCCAGUAGGAAGUCAAUAUGAGUGACCGUGCGUGGAUGUACACCGACUACACUAGUCAGUAGGUUUGGACCGAGGAAUGGUUAACAAAACUAAGGGGUUUGUUAGAGCCGCAUUUGCAAAUGGC